GAGAAAGCUGGAAAUCACCCCUUCCAACUGGCAGAAAGCUUUGACUCUCAGCCCUGCAAAGCUUUGAAGUCAUGAUACAUCUACAAGUAAAUCUGUCAUUUCUCCUACCCUUGUCUUGCUAGCCUGAGCCUUGAAGAACAGUUUUCACAAAUUUCUCCUCAGCAAAUAGAGAUGAUCUGCAUUUCAUCAAGACCUGCAGAUCUGCACAGAGAUUCACAAUCCCGUAUUGCACGAGUUCGCAGAGGCUGCAAUCAGUGCUGGGGCUUCUCUCUGGAAGGGAACAGGCAAACACAUUGCAAGCCAUGGACUCUGCCCCCAGGUGAGAGGAAUCCGUCUGCGUUGACAUCCUAUGAUACCACCCCAACAAAGGAGGCAGUGGGAAAGGCUCCCUGGAAAUCCCUCCAGAUUUGGAUCUGACCAAACCCCUCGGUCCUCCAUGCAUGGAAAUCUAGCAAGCCUCGCCUCCAUGUUGUCCCUGCACGGCUCCUACGGGCAUGGUAUGCUCUAGCAAUGCCCAGCUGGCAUAGAUGAAAGCACGUUUCCUGCUGUGGUCUGAAUGAGGCAACGGUCUUGUGGGAAAAGAUAUAACAGUGGAACUGAAGACUGUAUCAUAAUGUAUUCACAGAAGUCAGGGGGAACAAAAAAAAAGAAAAGGAGACUUGACCUUGGCUUGCUGCCUGGUGCUAAAGUAUGUUUUGAUGGGAUGGGAUAGGCUGGAAAGCAAGCUGCCUCCCUGAUGCAAAUAUCUCAUGGAGCUGUAAGAAGUGUGCAGUGCAACCAGCAUGUUCGGGAAGAAGGUUAUGACAAUUCCACCACGAAGGGGCAAACUGGUGUUUUGCAGAGGAUUAUAGCUGGGCCUGCUGGAGGUGAAUUGCCACCAGCAUAAAGCAGCACCUUUUUAUGCCAGUUUUGUAUAUCUGACAAAUGUUAAAAUCCUAGAGACUCUUGAGUAGUUUUAAAGUUUCUCCUAAAAAAAAAAAAAACAAAAACGGUGAAAACAAUUAGUUCUCCCUAGCACAUUCUUUCAGGGGGAAAAAAAAAUCAUGGAAACAUUCUACCAGUUGACGUCUGUCGAAUAAAUCAGCAGCCAGGGCUGCUCUAGCUGGAAAC
rnacentral:lncRNA from 1 species